CAAACUUUUGAUGGCGACCGGCGCACGGGUGAGUAACACGUAUCCAACCUGCCUCAUACUCGGGGAUAGCUUUCGAAAGAAAGAUUAAUACCCGAUGUCAUAGUCCUACCGCAUGAUGGGAUUAUUAAAGAAUUUCGGUAUGGGAUGGGGAUGCGUUCCAUUAGUUAGUUGGCGGGGUAACGGCCCACCAAGACAACGAUGGAUAGGGGUUCUGAGAGGAAGGUCCCCCACAUUGGAACUGAGACACGGUCCAAACUCCUACGGAAGGCAGCAG
rnacentral:rRNA from 1 species